rnacentral:misc_RNA from 1 species
GAUGAAGAACGUAGCGAAAUGCGAUAAGUAAUGUGAAUUGCAGAAUUCAGUGAAUCAUCGAAUCUUUGAACGCACAUUGCGCCCCUUGGUAUUCCGAGGGGCAUGCCUGUUCGAGCGUCAUUUCAACCCCUCAAGCUUCGGCUUGGUGUUGGGCCGCGCCGCUGUACCAGCAGCUGGCGGGCCUCAAAAUCAGUGGCGGUGCCGUCUCGGCUCUAAGCGUAGUAACAUCUCUCGCUCUGGAGACCUGGCGGUGGCUUGCCAGACAACCCCCAACUUUCUUUAAGGUUUGACCUCGGAUCAGGUAGGGAUACCCGCUGAACUUAAGCAUAUCAAUAAGCGGAGGA